rnacentral:rRNA from 1 species
GACCUCGGAAGGAUCAUUA